rnacentral:tRNA from 1 species
GCCUCCUUGGCUCAGUUGGCUAGAGCGCAGGUCUCAUACAUUUGUGUGACCAAGCAGGUGCUUGGGUAAUCCUGAGGUCGCAAGUUCGAGCCUUGCAGGGGGCA